AUGGGCCGCGGCUGCGGGGCAGGGCCUGCCGGGUGGGGUCCCACGGGGGGCAGAGCCGCGGGCAGGGGCCUACAGGGGCAGAGCCGGCAGGUAGGGGCCUCGGGGCAAAGCCCACGGGGUAGGGACCCGUGGAGCAAAGCCUGCCAGGUAGGGGCCUUAGGACAAAGCCCGCUGGGUAGGGACCCACGGAGCAAAGCCUGCCGGGUAGGGACCUCAGGGCAAAGCCCUCUGGGUAGGGACCCGCGGAGCAAAGCCUGCCGGGUAGGGGCCUUAGGACAGAGCCCGCUGGGUAGAGACCCGUGGAGCAAAGCCUGCCAGGUAGGGGCCUCGGGGCAAAGCCCACGGGGUAGGGACCUGUGGAGCAAAGCCUGCCAGGUAGGGGCCUUAGGACAAAGCCCGCUGGGUAGGGACCCACGGAGCAAAGCCUGCCGGGUAGGGACCUCAGGGCAAAGCCCUCUGGGUAGGGACCCGCGGAGCAAAGCCUGCCGGGUAGGGGCCUUAGGACAGAGCCCGCUGGGUAGAGACCCGUGGAGCAAAGCCUGCCAGGUAGGGGCCUCGGGGCAAAGCCCAUGGGGUAGGGACCCGUGGAGCAAAGCCUGCCGGGUAGGGACCUCAGGGCAAAGUCCGUUGGGUAGAGACCCGCGGAGCAAAGCCUGCCGGGUAGGGACCUCAGGGCAAAGUCCGUUGGGUAGGGACCCGCGGAGCAAAGCCUGCCGGGUAGGGGCCUCGGGGCAAAGCCCACGGGGUAGGGACCUGUGGAGCAAAGACUGCCAGAGAGUAAGGAAGAAGACCCUACUUAACAAGGAGGAAGAGUGGAUAUUUGGAGCAUGGAAAAGGAGGGAUAAAAAGUUACCGUGCCUUGCUGAUACGGUUUUCCAACGGCCUGUUUGCUUUCUGCUGCACAUUUUUUUGUUAUACUGACUUCUGAUACACAAAUAUUACACUAUCUGUUUACUGCUGUUACAGAGGUAUAAAGAACACUUGUUAUCACGGUUCUUUUUAUUCUGUACUUAGGCUUUCAUUUUAUUUUUAAAAUAAGUCCUUGAACAUGAAUGGUCAUGGAAAAUUUACUGUUGUAUAAUUGCACAUAAUCCCCAAACUUCAUCCAAAAACAAUUCCUGGGUAGCAGAGAACUGUCAUAUUCAAUUGUGUUUCUUCAUAACAACAACCUUUGUGGGGGAAAAAGCAAUUUCGCUUGCUUCAUUUUCAUACAGACUAGAAGUCCAAUUGUGCUUUUGUAAUUAAGUCCCC
rnacentral:lncRNA from 12 species